GUGUGACCUUCAUCAUUUGAGUUUAUGUGUUGAUUUCACCUCUGAAUAUUUCCUCUUAUAGGUCCAUCAUCCUUGCAUGCGCUACACACUCAAAAGCAUUGAUAAAUGCUGAAUUAAAAAGAAUCACUACUGUCUUAUGUUCCUGUGUCACCUGGACCUCCAAUCCAAAAACCUGAUGAAACUCUUCUAUCAGAAAGGAGGACAGCUAGCAAAAAGACUUCAAACAAUUAAUGAUCAAAUGACAGAAGGCAUGGAUGAAGUCAGCAUCAGUGAGGUCAUUUGAAGACACCAAUGUUGGAAUUUGUGCUCUCAAACAACAUGCUUCUUGUGAUGAAGAAGAGGAUCUUUGUAUAGUCCUGGAAGGCAUGAAGGUGUUGCAACAUCGUGUUUGAGCUGAUGUAUGCCUUAAACCUGAGCUAUCCUGAUCUCCGCUUUAUUUUUGAGGAAAUCCAAAAGAUUUUAAUGGAACUGCAUUGAGCGUAACUUUAACGAACAGUUUCUUUCAGUGAAAGGAUCAGAAAGACUGUGAUGCUAAUUUAUGUUCUUUUUAUUUAUCUGUUUUAAGUGUUUUCUCUUAUUAAAACAUUAACAGUUUGCUGCUCAGAGUUGAUUUUGGAAAUGGUUGUUGUAUUUUGUUUUUGUUGAAUCUUUGAUUAACAGUUUAUACAAAUGCUGUAGCUCUGACUUUCUGAAGGAUUGAUAUUUUCCAGUUUGUAAAUCCAUUUAAAAAAUAAUAGUACUUAUUGUUUUGCAUGUCUCUUUGGAAUGCAGUGUUUGUGUUUUAGCACUUCUAAAUCUACUGUGAUAGUAACUAUUUUAAACAUUUGGGUCAGUUUUACAGAUGGGGCUUUUCCUAGUCCCAGACUUUUGCAAUGCCUUAAUUUGAAAACAUAUUGCACUGACAUAUCUUGACAUAUAUCAGUGCCAUUGUUUUGUCUCAAGAUGUACUCCAGUGUUGUUUUUGUAAGCUAGGUUUGUUUGUAAACUUUUUUGUAAAAUAUAUUCUAAUAUAACUAGAGCCUAGUCAUGGCUUAAUCUACAACCUGUCUGGGAAAUUGCCCCUUUGUAUGUACUGCAUGUGCUGAUUGUUGUAAUAGUUAUUGACUGUUAAUGAAUUAAUGUGUAAUGAUUUAAAUGAAUUGA